AUAUUCCAACAUCUAUCCAUCAAAAUCCUUUCAAAAGUCUUGGAUCCUUUCUUUCUCUAGUUUGGUAUCUACAAAUCAAAUUCAGAAUUGAAAUCAAAGAAAUGCCUUUGCACUUGUUAAUGGCUGCAGCAAAGAUUCAUAGUUUUAGUGCUACUCCAUUGCUGGCCACCUUAAUUUGGCCCUUUUGCAUCAAGUUCAUGCUCAGUUUAAGACCCAUUAAAGACAUUGUUCAAAGCAUCGCAUUCGAUUCCAACCUUUUGGUGUUUCAGUUGACCCGAAUUUUCACUUCUCCUCAACAUCGUGGCAGAAGAUUGAAUCGAGUUUUCCAUUUGGUUCACGAACGCAUGAUCAGAGCGACACGCUCCACCAUCGCUCUUGCAUCCCACGACGAGGAUAGCUUGCAUACUCUCACUAUGGUCGCCCUUUAAUCAACGUUAAGGUGGGUCGAGUUACGGCUCGUUUUUUAUCGAGCUUAACGGCGCAUAUAUGUGCACAUUCGUGGACCUUAUAACAUCGUUAGAUUCGAGGUUAUUCUUACCAAUUAAUUACUUGUAUGAAUAUUUAUU